GGAUAUAGCUCAGUUGGUAGAGUACUUGCUUCACAUGUACAAGGCCCUGGGUUCAAUCCCCAGCACCA
rnacentral:tRNA from 1 species